AGGAACCAUCCUUUGUCUGUAACAACCUCCACAGCCCCUUCUUUAACAGAAAGUGGAAGCCAGCCUCUAACAGGGGAUUUCUUUGGUAACACAAGAGGAUGGCUACUAUGAUCGCAAUGAUGGCCAACACACCCAGAAUCGAUAGGGACGACACAGCCAUUAUAAAAAACUCUGGAAGGUAGAUGGUGUAGGUGACCCCGAAAAGAAAGAGUUCUUUCAGAAUCGGUUUCUGGUGAACAGAAACUUUGAGAGUGCUAGAAGUCGCCCACAAAGUGAAGGAGGGUGGCUGCAAUGCCCCUGUAGGAACAGAGAGUGACAGACGAUGAGAUGUUAUCUCCUGCAACCAGCUGAACUCUGACCUUAUAGGGAGCGCGUUUUUCAAUUAUAAGGCUGCUUACAUCACAGUUCGUCUUUUUGAUCCCUGUGCAGCUGGCGACCAUGGCCCAUUCCCCACCCAUGUACCUAAGGACAGAAAUCAUAAUACGACCAAGGAGUAAAUAAAUGAUUUCAAUAAUAGUCAAUUUUUGCUUGUUAAUUAUUUAAGUAAAGGGAA